rnacentral:rRNA from 1 species
AACGAACGCUGGCGGCAUGCCUAACACAUGCAAGUCGAACGAGACCUUCGGGUCUAGUGGCGCACGGGUGCGUAACGCGUGGGAACCUGCCCUUAGGUUCGGAAUAACUCCCCGAAGGGGAUCUUAAUACCGGUUAAUCUCUUCGGGCCAAGGAUUUAUCGCUUUUGGAUGGGCCGGGGUUGGUUUAGCUAGUUGGUAGGGUAAAAGCCUACCAAGGGGACGAUCCAUAGCUGGUCUGUGAGGAUGAUCAGACACACUGGGACUGAGACACGGCCCAGACACCUACGGGAGGAAGCAGUGGGGAAUAUUGGAGAACGGGCGAAAGACUGAGCAAGCAAUGCCGCGUGAGGGAUGAAGGCCGGAGGGUUGUAAAGCUCGUUUACCCGGGAUGAUAAUGACAGGACCGGGAGAAUAAGCUCCGGCUAAAUCCGUGC